rnacentral:rRNA from 1 species
GCCUAUUAUAUUAGUACCUUAAAGCACCAGAUCCCAUUUGAUCUUGGGAGCUAAGCAGGGUCAGCCAUGAUUAGUACUUAGAUGGAAAACAAUCAGCGAAUGCCUGGUACUUCGGGUU